rnacentral:rRNA from 1 species
GACGAACGCUGGCGGCGUGCUUAACACAUGCAAGUCGAACGGUGAAGCGCCUUCCUUUUUGGUGGGUGUGGAUGAGUGGCGAACGGGUGAGUAACACGUGAGUAACCUGCCCCCUUCUUCUGGAUAACCGCAUGAAAGUGUGGCUAAUACGGGAUAUUCUGGGUCUGUCGCAUGAUGGGUCUGGGAAAGAUAUUGUUUCGGUGGGGGAUGGGCUCGCGGCCUAUCAGCUUGUUAGUGGGGUGAUGGCCUACCAAGGCGGUGACGGGUAGCCGGCCUGAGAGGGUGGACGGUCACACUGGGACUGAGACACGGCCCAGACUCCUACGGGAGGCAGCAGUGGGGAAUAUUGCACAAUGGGCGCAAGCCUGAUGCAGCGACGCCGCGUGAGGGAUGGAGGCCUUCGGGUUGUGAACCUCUUUCGCCAGUGAAGCAGGCCUGCCUCGUUUGUGGGUGGGUUGACGGUAGCUGGAUAAGAAGCGCCGGCUAACUACGUG